rnacentral:rRNA from 1 species
UACGUAGGGACCAAGCGUUGUUCGGAUUUACUGGGCGUAAAGGGCGCGUAGGCGGCAAUUCAAGUCAUCUGUGAAAUCUCCGGGCUUAACCCGGAACGGUCAGGUGAUAGUGUUUUGCUAGAGUGCGGAAGGGGCAAUCGGAAUUCUCGGUGUAGCGGUGAAAUGCGUAGAUAUCGAGAGGAACACCAGAGGUGAAGACGGGUUGCUGGGCCGACACUGACGCUGACAGCGCGAAAGCCAGGGGAGCAAACGGG